rnacentral:lncRNA from 1 species
CACAGGAGUCUGGGAGCUGUUCUUUUGGUCAAUAGACGACUGAGUGGGACUUGUUUGUGAAGCAGCCCGACGUGUGAAAGGACGGGACUGGCUUCUGCGACGGAGAACAACAAAAGGGAAUGUACAAUUUCUCAACUGGGAAUCCGCAUUAUCUACAUGCCGGCGUUUGAAGAGGGGGAAAGAUACGAUGAAUGAACUGGAUCACAACAUGAGUCAAG